GAGGAAAAAGAAACUUUUAAAUGGGGGUAUUUUGGUCAAAAAUACAGCUUUCCGACAAAGCUGAAAACAGCGUUUUCGGAAAGCUCCAAAAUUGAGCUUCUGCCAAAAAGCUGUUUUCAGCUUCCCGCAAAAGCUGAAACAGCUUCUUGGAAAUUUUACCAAACACACUUUUUUUCCCUAAAAGUACUUUUGGAGGGCCAGAAAGUGCUUUUUGG
rnacentral:lncRNA from 1 species